GAUGAACGCUAGCGGCAGGCCUAAUACAUGCAAGUCGAGGGGCAGUUCAGGACUUCGGUUCUGAAGCGACCGGCGGACGGGUGAGUAACGCAUAUGCAACCUACCUUACAGAGGGGGAUAGCCUUGAGAAAUUGAGAUUAAUACCCCAUGGAAUUAGAGAAACACAUGUUUUUUAAUUAAACCUUCGGGGCUGUAAGAUGGGCAUGCGUGGCAUUAGUUAGAUGGUGAGGUAACGGCUCACCAUGACAGCGAUGCCUAGCUGGUCUGAGAGGAUGAUCAGCCACACUGGGACUGAGACACGGCCCAG
rnacentral:rRNA from 1 species